GUGAGAGUAUUGUUGUAUUUCUAUCCUGAGGGAAAUCCAAUAAAUAUCUAACGCACAUUUCCUAUUCUCCUUGACAGUCGUAAUUAAUCUGUUCUUACCACUGAGGUCCAGAUCUGCGAUGAGAAGAUGUGGAAUCCUCCCCGGCACCCGCAACUGCUCAGCUGAGUUCGGUCUACUUGAGGCCCGUAGGAUUAUUCAGUUUAUAAUCAUUUACUAUUCAUAAAUGAAUUACUCAGAGACUUUAUUGUUUAAUAAAAUUUUUCGCAUCACCAUUUGUCAUGGUUUCGUUUUAUUAAUGGACAAUAACUCAUAAGUAAUCAAAAAUGAAAAAAUAAAAGCAAGUAAGUCUUCGCCAUCGAAGUGCGGCCCCGCACUCAGAUUUUCUCUCCCUUUUAUAGCUUUGCAUACCCUUUGAAUACCUCCCCUACAUUCUCCCUUAUUUGGUAAUCACGUGUAUUCAUACACAAGCAUAGUACCUGACCUUUAUCACAUCUAAUACAGAGUGUCAAAAGUUCAAAGGGAAGAAUGGCAGGGGUGGUCAGCAACAUACACACGUUAGUACAAAAAUAUCCUUAACACCUUUUUCUGCAUAGGUACAAGUGUGCUCGGUUCAACCACAGAAGUCACACCUUCAUGCAUUGCAAAAUCAACACUACUCGGUUGCAGUUUCAUCUCCCAAGCACGUUGGAAAAUGCAACCGCGUCCUUUUACACUCUUUAAACAAACAAAGCAUACAUCAACUCUUAAACCACAAAGAUUAAUACCUUCAAAGGUUAGAAAAAUAAAAGAGAAAUAAAAAAGAAAUAAAAAUAAAAUAAAUAUUUGAAACAUGAUCAUGAUUCCCCCCAAAAGAAACUCUUACAUCUUAAACAUUGGAGCUUUGAGCUUCAAAGACUCUAAACCCUUUGUCAGUGCUUGCAGCUCGAGAUGGAUCUUAUUAUACUCAGCCAUGUCUCCUGCUUGAGCACCAACUUUGUCACCGCUUUCAGCUUGAAAUGCAUGUCCUGCUGGUAUUCCAGAUUUCUUCGUUGCUCGGCAAUGCUGCUCAACUUUCGCUUGCUUUUUGGCUUUUCUGCUUUCUUCCACUUGCAGUCCUUUAAUGAUGAGAUCACCAAGGUCAACAUUCACAUUUGCUUUACAGUCUCUGUUCCCUAAGGUAAUGGGCCCAGUAGGAGAUUGGUCAAAAAUUGGUCAAAAACACUCCUAUAUUACCUCCAAAUAUGACAGUAUACAUAAAAAAUCAAUAUGUAUGUAAUUUCAAUGCUUUGGCCUUUGUGUAGAUAUUUAAGAAUGUCCCUAUAGUUAGUGUGUGUUAAUUUCUACAUCUACUAAUAUUAUUUUUACAAAUUUAUAGCGCUGUACAUCUAAAAUGAAUGUUUGUCUUUGCAUAAAGUGUGUACUGUAUAUAUUUAUUAUGUGUAUAUAUAAAUACACAUGCAUGUGUUUAAGAAAAUUGUUCUUUAUAUAUUAAAUGUUUAUAUAUAAUAUAAAUUAUAUAUAUAUGAGUGUGUGUGUGUGUGCAAAUACAUGUAAAUAUUUUCAAGAUAUAUACUGUAUGUGUGUGCAUUUGUAUAUACAGUACACACACAUUAUGUCAGCAAACUUUUAUUUUGGAUGCAAUUAAUCAAUUUGACAGCAGUAAAUCUGAAGUUGCAAUUUGAACAUUAGUUAAUGAACCAUGAACUAACUUUAAUGAUCAAUAUACAAUAGGUGGAGAACCAGAAUGGGUAAUACCGCUGCGUGUACCGCAAGUAACUCCAAGUCAGUCGCGUGUUAAAAUCAUUCGCGAAACUAGGUGCCGCAAAAGGACGGAUUGCGAACUGAAUGUAAUUGUAAAAUGUUGCUUUGUAAACCGAGAUAAAAGGAAGAAGUAAAACAACAAUAACUUUAUAAUAUAACAUUGUAACAUCCUUAAAAACCAUUAGAACAUUUACAGUGAGUUAAUUUCAAAACGUGGGAUAGUCUUAGGCUACAGUCUACUCAUCAAAAAUUUAAAGAAAUACCUUUACACAAAGGCUCUUACUGCAUGCUAUUGUUAUUAAACAGUCAUUACACACAUACAUACAUAUAUAUAUAUAUAUAUAUAUAUACACACACACACACAGAUUAAAAAAAAUGUUAUUAUUUUGGUUCAUUCUUGGUUAAAAAAAUCUUCAGGUUCCAUUUGCAGAGCGAAAUGAGAAUGGUCCAGCAUUUAGAAAUAAUUCUUAUUAACUCUGUUAUUAUUCUUGAUUUUUCAAACUGCUAACACUUUGCAUUUUCGAAUUAUGCCUUUACUGUGUGACCAAAAAUUGAGUAUUUUCAGUUUCAGCUGUUUGAUUGCGCUGGUGCCUCACGCGCACAUAUUCACUAGAAACAGUGCAGCCGUUCACUGUGCCAUCCAGCGCGAGCAGUGGUCCACUUUGGCAUAUUUUUGUUAAUUAUGAUAUUUUUCCGUCAAUACUGAAACACGCGUGAACUACAAAGCCUAUUUUACCUAAUGAAUUAUAGUUAAGCUUCAAAUGGGUAACAUCAUGAAUAUGGAAACGUUAGGAUUUCUCCCGAAUGAGAGAACCCAACCUUACCUUAUGUUUCACUUUAAAUUAUUAUUAGUUUAUUUUAUUUUUUUGUUUGUUUAUAGGUAAGCCUAUAUUAUUAUAUACUGCAAUUAUAUUUAUCCAUUAGAAUUAUUUAUUUUUAAUUCUUGUUCUGUUCUGAUAAAUUUGUUAAAUUUAAAGGAUUUGUUGUAAAGUGAAAGGAACUAAAAAUAUCCUGUUGGUACAUUAUAACAUUAUUAGGCCAGCCGUUAUUAUUCUGAAUGUAAUAAAAUGCAACCUACAGUAUACA
ensembl:lncRNA